UUGAGUGCCUACUACGUACAAGGCAAUUCGCACUUUGGAGAAUACGAAGGUGUGGUUCCUAUGCCACAAGGAGCCCGUUACAGAGUAGGGGAUAUUUUGUUAGUACAUUUUGACUGUAAGUAGCAGAAACUCACUGGAGCUAAUUUAAUGGGGGGAUUUGGUAUAAGGAUAUGGUGGGGUUUCAAGGAAACUUUGGGCAAAGACACAAUCAGGUUUCGUCAAGGAAAUGAAAUCAGGCAAUAAAAGCCAUCAGGAGUCUUGAGAGUCACUCCAUUUUUAUCUCUGCCUCUUUUCAUGUUUUUAGUUGAAAAAGAUUGUUUUGCUUUCUUUACUCUUUGAUUCUCAAGAUGGAAGCUAGAUUUUGAGUUUUCGUGUUUUUUCUAUCCAAGAGACUAAACUGAGCAGUUUUAAUCUGAAUUCUAAAUUUCCAGGAGAGACAAACUGAUUGUGUCAUGUACCACUUCCUGGCCCAACCAGUUGGUCACAGAGACAGGGUCAUGUAGCACAAACACGGCUAUUGGGACAAGCCCCUGUGAGCUGUGAGUUGGAGAAGGGAUGACACUUUUCAGAGUAGGAGGAAUUUCCAUGAGAUCUCAAGAGACAAUAGUUCACAGUAACUGCAAAGCUUACUCACAAUUUUUAAAAAUACCGGUCAUGCUUAGCAUUCAAAGAUGAUAUUUUAGAAUAACUGUAAAAACUUUUACCAGGAACAUCAGCUUCUGACUUUAAAAAUUACAAAUACUGAAGCAUUUUGGUAUCAGACACAGUAGUUUUGACAUCGUCUGUUCAUUUGAUGAGUUUCUGGAAGUUUGGAAAAUUGUACCUCUAUAAUUGGGAUAAAGCGCUUAUUCUAAACUAAACAUUUUCCAAUGUAGAAAACAAACUAGCAAGCUACACAUACAAAGAAAAGCCCUCUAGGACAAGCUCUCCACCUGUUGAAUGCCAGCAUAUGCACCAUGAAUCCUGGAAGACUAGAAUUGAUACAUACAUUUGACCUGAAGUCUUACACUCCAGGCUCG
rnacentral:lncRNA from 1 species